rnacentral:rRNA from 1 species
UACGAAGGGGGCUAGCGUUGCUCGGAAUUACUGGGCGUAAAGCGCACGUAGGCGGAUAUUUAAGUCAGGGGUGAAAUCCCAGAGCUCAACUCUGGAACUGCCUUUGAUACUGGGUAUCUUGAGUAUGGAAGAGGUAAGUGGAAUUGCGAGUGUAGAGGUGAAAUUUCGUAGAUAUUCGCAGGAACACCAGUGGCGAAGGCGGCUUACGUGUCCAUAACUGACGCUGAGGUGCGAA